AUCAGGCUCAUCAAACUGCACGUGACAUUUAGUGCGUCUAGACUCUGAUGUCACAUUACGUCUUAUAAAUUUGAACUUUUGCUGCUAUUCUUGCAAGAACGUAGCUUUAACAAGUGAUGCAUUGUGGGUCAAAGUUACGGCGUCAAAAAAUUCUAUCGAAUGAAUGUGCAGUCGUCCAAAUUUUCUCUUCGCACAGAGGGUCUGUGCUAGAAUUUGUUGGACCCCAGUGUAACACUUUUAUGGACAGAGAGGAAAUCUUAUCUCAAGGGUCAACAUGUCUUUAUUCCAAGAAAGGGGUGUAUGCCAGAAUCUUUUGAAGAACAGUCUGAAUCUAACAUGGAAAAAUGAGGAAGAACAGCCUUCCAGCUUACAAAUCUAUAUUUUGACAAAGGGGGUAUAUGCCAGAAUCUUUUGAAGAACAGUCAGAAUCUAACAUGGAAAAAUGAGGAAAAACAGCCUUCCUGCUAAUCUAUAUUCUGACAAAGGGUAAUUUUGUUUUUAAUUCAGUUAGAAGUACACA